rnacentral:rRNA from 1 species
ACUUAUAACCAAAUCAACCUGAAUGCACCCGAUCUUGUCCGACCUCAGAAGCUAAGCAAGAUUUGAGCCUGAUUAGUAAUUGGAUCGGGGAAUGCCUGAGAAUAAAAAGUGUUGAAGGUU